GACGAACGCUGGCGGCGUGCCUAAUACAUGCAAGUCGAGCGAACGGACCAGAAGUUUGCGUCUCUGAUGUUAGCGGCGGACGGGAGAGGAACACGUGGAUAACCUACCUAUAAGACUGGGAUAACUACGGGAAACGGGCGCUUAUAGCGGAUAAUAUUUUGAACCGCAUGGUUCAAAAGUGAGAUACGGUCUUUCGGGAACUUAUAGAUGGAUCCGCGCUGCAUUAGCUAGUUGCGAAGGUAACGGCUUACCAAGGCUACGAAGGAUAGCCGACCUCAACGCGUGAACGGCCACCCUGGAAGUGAGACAGGCUCCAGACUCCUACAGGAGGCCGCAGUAGAGACUCUUCCGCAAUGGGGGAAAGCCUGACGGAGCGCAGCCGCGUGAGUCAUGACGGUGUUCGGAUCGUAAAACUAUGUUAUUAGGAGAAAACAAAUGUGUAAGUACCUGUGCAGAUCUUGACGGUACCCGGUCAAAAAGCCACGGCUAACUACGUG
rnacentral:rRNA from 1 species